rnacentral:lncRNA from 1 species
UUCUUCUGAGACUAAAUUAUCAACUCUAACUCCUCCUAGAGCUUUAACUCUACAGACUCCAAACUCAGCCCAUAUCUUCAGACUGAUCUGAAGUUAGUUGCUAUAUCUUUUCUAACUGAUUGGACUUACGGUUUUCAUAAAAAUGAAUGUUAAAAAUCAUAAAAAUCCCAUAGACUUACAUUGAAAAGUCUGCUCACCAGAACAUUCCGUCAAAUUCCAACUGUCAAAAUUCAAAUCUAAACACACUGAAGCCCAUUAGACUCAAUCAGACUUGCCUUCUAAGUACUAUUUCUAACCCAUUCAAACUGAUUCAAACUCAUCUAUCUAUUAAUCUAUCUAUUUAUCUAUCUAUAUAUCAUCUGACUAUUUCUUUCUUUCUUCCUUUCUUUCUUUCUUUCUUUAAUCUGACUAUUUCUGUCUAUCUAUCUAUCAUCUGACUAUUUUUUUCUUUCUUUCUUUCUUUCUUUCUUUCUUUCUUUCUUUCUAUCAUCUGACUAUUUCUAUCUAUCUAUCAUCUGACUAUUUUUUUCUUUCUUUCUUUCUUUCUUUCUUUCUUUCUUUCUUUCUAUCAUCUGACUAUUUCUAUCUAUCUAUCAUCUGACUAUUUCUUUCUUUCUUCUUUUCUGUCUUUCUUUCUUUCUUUCUAUAAUCUGACUAUUUCUGUCUAUCUAUCUAUCUAUCUAUCUAUCUAUCAUCUGACUAUUUCUAUCUAUCUAUCAUCUGAAUAUUUCUUUCUUUCUUUCUUUCUUUCUUUCUUUCUUUCUUUCUUUCUUUCUUUCUAUCUAUCUAUCUAUCUAUCUAUCUAUCAUCAGACUAUUUCUAUCUAUCUAUCUAUCUAUUCUAGCGAUAUCUUAAUCAUGCUAGAAAUCUAUCUAUCCUAGCGACAUGCUAAUCAUGCUAAAAACAUACAAACAACAUGAUAGUAACUUCUUAUUCAUGCUAGCAACAUGCUAGUAGCAUGCUAAUCAUGCUAGAAACAUGCUAGCAACAUGCUACUAACUU